rnacentral:rRNA from 1 species
CCUACGGGAGGCAGCAGUGGGGAAUCUUGCGCAAUGGGCGAAAGCCUGACGCAGCCAUGCCGCGUGAAUGAUGAAGGUCUUAGGAUUGUAAAAUUCUUUCAGUAGGGACGAUAAUGACGGUACCUACAGAAGAAGCCCCGGCUAACUUCGUGCCAGCAGCCGCGGUAAUACGAAGGGGGCUAGCGUUGCUCGGAAUUACUGGGCGUAAAGGGAGCGUAGGCGGGUUAUCAAGUUGGAGGUGAAAGCCCAGGGCUCAACCUUGGAAUUGCCUUCAAAACUGAUAGCCUAGAGUAUGAUAGAGGUAAGUGGAACUCCGAGUGUAGAGGUGAAAUUCGUAGAUAUUCGGAAGAACACCAGUGGCGAAGGCGACUUACUGGAUCAUGACUGACGCUGAGGCUCGAAAGCGUGGGGAGCAAACAGGAUUAGAUACCCUGGUAGCCCACGCUGUAAACGAUGAUUGUNUAGUGUCGACGGACGAUGCGUCGGUGACGCAGCUACGACAUAAGACAAUACCGCCGUCGGGAGGUACGGUCGGCGAAGAAGUUAAAACUAACUAAAUAAGUUAAGUUAGUACGGACGUUGAGAGNGCCGACGGACGACGACGAGGGAGGAGGAG